rnacentral:rRNA from 1 species
AGAGUUUGAUCCUGGCUCAGGAUGAACGCUAGCUACAGGCUUAACACAUGCAAGUCGAGGGGCAGCAUGGUCUUAGCUUGCUAAGGCCGAUGGCGACCGGCGCACGGGUGAGUAACGCGUAUCCAACCUGCCUUACACUCUUGGACAGCCUUCUGAAAGGGAGAUUAAUACAAGAUGUUAUCAUGAGUAAGCUAUUUUCGCAUGAUUAAAGGUUUACCGGUGUAAGAUGGGGAUGCGUUCCAUUAGAUAGUAGGCGGGGUAACGGCCACCUAGUCUUCGAUGGAUAGGGGUUCUGAGAGGAAGGUCCCCCANAUUGGAACUGAGACACGGUCCAAACUCCUACGGGAGCA